GCUUUCAAGAUUCUUUUCUCCUCUGUGACUUCUGAAACUGUGCAGGUAGUGUUUUACAUCUCUUCUUGCUUAUACUCUUGAUGUGUUGAGCUUUUUUUAUCUCUGUUCUUUCAUUGGAGAAGUUUUCAGUAAUUAUUUUGUUUCAUAUGUUCAGUUUCUGAAUCCAUUUGUUAUACUUUAUAUCUUUUUAUUGGUAUUGUCAUUUUCCUGGUUUUACUUAGUUUUCUGUUUUUCUAUUUUUAUUCGUUGAUCAUUAUUCAAAUGAUAAUUUUAUUUUUUUCAGUUAAUUUCUGCAUCUCCAUUGUUUUAGGGUUGAUUUCUGAACUUUUUUUGAUGUCUUUAAUUGUACCACAUGACCCUAAUACUUUGAACAGGUAAUCUUUGAUUGAGAUUCAAGCAUCAACAAAAAGCCUCCUGCCACAACUCUUUUAAUGUGACUUUCUCCUGGGGUAAUCAGAACCAAAUUGGCCCAGAUGCUAGAAGCCUCUUAAAGCCGGUUCCGAAGAUGUGUCUCGUGUGGAAUUGUGUGUGUAUUUUUCAGUGAAAGACGGUUUCUCGGGUUUCUUCAUAGUGGCCUCUGGUCACCUGAUCCACAUGUUGCUGGUGGUGCUGCUGCAGCCUUCCUGCUGUGGUCACCAGGAUUUCCUUUUGGUCUCAGAGACCCAACCUGUCAUUCAGAGGACCCCCAUUUCUUUCAGCACUCCAUGUCAUCGGGGCAGAAACCAGACUUUGCCGUAGCUUCAAAAGGACAAACGUAAAAACACUUGUCUAUGUUGUCCUAUUUUACCCAAGACCUUUUGCCAGAGCAGAAGAUACAAGAUGCAUUCCCAAAAUCAAUACUGAGAGGAUAUGGAAAUGGUGGCCUUGAUAAUUUCCACUGGAGGAAAGACUGGGGAAAUGUAGACGAAUGUCUGGUGCUCAUGGAAUAAAGUGUUAUCCUACCAAGAAUCAAUCCCAUCUCAAUGGUGUCGAUAACAGACGGCAGCAAUCUACUGUCAGAUGGCAGAGUGGAGUGACAUCUUCAGUGACCUUCAUUCCCAGUGACUUUUUAACUGCAAGUAACUGGAAGAAUAUGGUUCUCAUAGUUUUUUAUAAUUUUCUUUGUAACUACAGAGUCAUUAUGGUUAUAAUAAAGAUUAUACAGAAGUAUAAAUAAAAUACAUAUAUUUCUGAGUAAUUAGAAAUUUUUUCCUGUCAUUUUUCUUGGAUGUACAACCCCUCUGCCCUGCAAAACACAUAGAGAGUUUACGUUGUGAUUUACAUGGAGGUAAAUAUACAAAUAUGUAACUGUAAAAAUAAACUAGCCUGGGCAUGGUGGCGCACAGCUGUAAUCCCAGCACUUGGGAGGGUUGCUUCAGCUGAAAAGUUUCGGACCAGCCUGGGCAACAUAGUGAGUGACACCUGUCUCUACUACAGAUUUUUUUAAUUAGCUGGGAGUGGUGGUGCACACUUUCAGUCCCAGCUACUCGGGAAGCUGAGGUGGAAGGACCGACCACAUGAGCCUGGGAGAUGAAGGCCACAGUGAGCUAUGUUCAUGCCACUGCACUCCAGCCAGGGCAGCAAACCGUGCCCUUGUCUAAGAAAACAAGAACCAAACGCAAUGGAGAUAAACUUCAGGGUUAAGAGAAUGACGGAGCACGUCAUUGUGUUUGUGUGAGUGCGGGUGUCCACCUGUUUUGAAAGUACACAUGACAAAGAAAAUAGCAAGACUGGAUUCAAACAGAUCACUUUAAUAGUCUUGAUAAUUUACUAGAAAACUACACAAACCUCAUAGAUUUUGAAGGAAAUCUCAAUCUCUCCUUUGUGCUGAAUUCAUUUCUGUAUAACAUUCUGGCUCCUGGUUCAGAAUCUCCUCAUGCAAAUCCUGUUUUUAUUUGCCUGUUAUUCAUGCUGGACCUCACACAUAAUGUUCCCUCCCAUUGUUCAUGCAGUCAUAUUUUAUUUCCAUGACCUGCCCUGUGGUGAGAAGGAGAAUUUCCAUAAAACUUAGUGGUGCUCCCCUAGUAAUUCUCAGAUGUGAGUAUCUUCACAAUGAGGGUGUUAAGUUAUAUUUUAUUUAACUAGUACAUUUGAUUUAGUUCUUUCAAUUAGACAAGCUAUUUUAAGCCCAUUUGUCCUUAGUUAUUAUUCUUUUACUUUUUGUAAUUGAUGUCGUUGGCUUUAUUUAUUUUAUUGGGCCAAUUUGUUCAGGUAGACACUGGAGAUGCUUCCUAAGUUACUGGGUUGUUUUGAUACAUAAAUGAAGUAAACAAAUAUAGUGCUAGGUGAAUAGCACCCUUUGUAAUUAGGAGUAAAUAAUUCUGUUGAAGUGAGUUUGUGUCUCCAAGUUAGAGACUGAAAGCAUCCAUGGUGAAGAAACGGUAUUGAUUUUGCAGUGGAGAGAGGACAUCUGUUCCCAGGCUACACAACUGGCUCUUUCCAAACGUGUGAAGCGGAAUUCCUCUUGUUCACUUUUCCAAUAAUCUGCAGUCUUCUGCUGCCUCUUUGUGUUCAUCCUAACUCUGCUCUGCAUCACAGUCCUCACUGCGUGUCUUCCGGCUACAACUUUCUCACUGUUAUCCCGCCCAUCAUGCCACAUAGUGCUUUGCAGGUUCUGAGAGGUUUGGAAUUUUCUAACGUGGUGAGAACUUACUCUUAACUGGAGCCUCUGAGGCCAUUUAUAGCCAUGAAUACACCAUUUGGAUCACUUAAUUGGCACAAGAGGCGUGCACUGUCUGCAGGCCAGAAGGUUCCACUGGUCAGUUAGCACUGUCUGGAUUUAUUUGUAAAAGCUGUUAAGUCCUAACACAAUAUGGUUAGUACUAGUAAAAGAUAGUACUAAGUAUUAGCACAAGACAGUAGUAAGUCCUAACACAGUAUGGUGAGUAUAACAUUAGUUUGAAUAGUAAAAGCAUCAACACCAUGUAUUAAAGAGUUUGUUCUUUAUCCAUUAUAUGUUUUGUCACCUCAGUUAGCUGGAAUGUGUGGAUUUAUUUCCGGGCUCUCUAUUCUGCUCUUUUGGCCUAUGUGUCUAUUUUUAUGCCAGUACCAUACACUUUUGCUUAUUAUGGCUUUGUAGUAUAUUUCAAAGGCAGGCUCUGUGAUGCCUUCAGCUUUGGUUUUUUUUUUUUUUUUAAUUAUUUUGACUAUAGAGGGUUUUCUUUUGUGAGAACAGGAUGAACUGGGAUGUUCCUUUUGAAUGUGGAGAAUGCCAUUGGUAGUUUGAUAGGGACGCAUUAAAUCUGUAGAUCACUUU
rnacentral:lncRNA from 1 species